GAAUACCCCAGCCUAUCAUGUCAGUCGACGCACAGCGAGGUGCUUGCACCUUUCAAGUGAGUGGCGAACGGGUGAGUAACACGUGGACAACCUGCCUCAAGGCUGGGGAUAACAUUUGGAAACAGAUGCUAAUACCGAAUGAAACUUAGUGUCGCAUGACACAAAGUUAAAAGGCGCUUUGGCGUCACCUAGAGAUGGAUCCGCGGUGCAUUAGUUAGUUGGUGGGGUAAAGGCCUACCAAGACAAUGAUGCAUAGCCGAGUUGAGAGACUGAUCGGCCACAUUGGGACUGAGACACGGCCCAAACUCCUACGGGAGGCUGCAGUAGGGAAUCUUCCACAAUGGGCGAAAGCCUGAUGGAGCAACGCCGCGUGUGUGAUGAAGGCUUUCGGGUCGUAAAGCACUGUUGUAUGGGAAGAACAGCUAGAAUAGGGAAUGAUUUUAGUUUGACGGUACCAUACCAGAAAGGGACGGCUAAAUACGUGCCAGCAGCCGCGGUAAUACGUAUGUCCCGAGCGUUAUCCGGAUUUAUUGGGCGUAAAGCGAGCGCAGACGGUUGAUUAAGUCUGAUGUGAAAGCCCGGAGCUCAACUCCGGAAUGGCAUUGGAAACUGGUUAACUUGAGUGCAGUAGAGGUAAGUGGAACUCCAUGUGUAGCGGUGGAAUGCGUAGAUAUAUGGAAGAACACCAGUGGCGAAGGCGGCUUACUGGACUGUAACUGACGUUGAGGCUCGAAAGUGUGGGUAGCAAACAGGAUUAGAUACCUGGUAGUCCACACCGUAAACGAUGAACACUAGGUGUUAGGAGGUUUCCGCCUCUUAGUGCCGAAGCUAACGCAUUAAGUGUUCCGCCUGGGGAGUACGACCGCAAGGUUGAAACUCAAAGGAAUUGACGGGGACCCGCACAAGCGGUGGAGCAUGUGGUUUAAUUCGAAGCAACGCGAAGAACCUUACCAGGUCUUGACAUCCUUUGAAGCUUUUAGAGAUAGAAGUGUUCUCUUCGGAGACAAAGUGACAGGUGGUGCAUGGUCGUCGUCAGCUCGUGUCGUGAGAUGUUGGGUUAAGUCCCGCAACGAGCGCAACCCUUAUUGUUAGUUGCCAGCAUUCAGAUGGGCACUCUAGCGAGACUGCCGGUGACAAACCGGAGGAAGGCGGGGACGACGUCAGAUCAUCAUGCCCCUUAUGACCUGGGCUACACACGUGCUACAAUGGCGUAUACAACGAGUUGCCAACCCGCGAGGGUGAGCUAAUCUCUUAAAGUACGUCUCAGUUCGGAUUGUAGUCUGCAACUCGACUACAUGAAGUCGGAAUCGCUAGUAAUCGCGGAUCAGCACGCCGCGGUGAAUACGUUCCCGGGUCUUGUACACACCGCCCGUCACACCAUGGGAGUUUGUAAUGCCCAAAGCCGGUGGCCUAACCUUUUAGGAAGGAGCCGUCUAAGGCAGGACAGAUGACUGGGGUGUAGACGUAAUACACGUUGGCAUGC
rnacentral:rRNA from 1 species